AGUGUCACUGGGGGUCAGUCGGCUGUGGCUCCCUUGGCCAAGCGGCAUCGCGGCUCCGACUCUGCCGCUCCGGGCCUCCUCGGGCUGACUUACCUCGGCGCGCGCCCGCAGGUGUGCGCGGGGCGGAGGGAGUUCUCGCCCAGCUUCUGGGGCUCCUUUCCCCGCUCGCUCCGCACCCGAGGAGCCGCGCCCCCGAGCCGGGCCCCAAGCAGGGGCGCUCGGGGCCGCCCCGCGGUCCCCGUGGCGGGUGUGGAGGGAGAGGGGUGGCGCCCCUCGCGCCGCCUGCAGGCGCGGGGGCGGCCGAGGCGCGCGGAGCCGGAGGCGGGGAGCGGCAGGCCCGGGGCCCGGGUCUCCGCCUCCCGGCCUCCCUCCGGGCUGCCCCCUCGGCGCGGCUCCUCCCCCGGCGCCCCGCCUCCGGGUCGGCUCCCUCGGCGCCGCGCCGCCACCGAGCCCCGAGCAGCCUGGCCGUCGCGGCCGCCGCGCCACCAAACUUUCCCCGGAGCCGGCGCCGGUGAGAGGAGCCCAACUACGGAAGUUCCUCUUGAUUUUUCUGGAAGGAGCCAAGGGAGUCAGGAGCUGGGGCUGAAGCACCGCAGAUCUGCACAGAAAGCUCUUUCCCUCUCUGGGUCACUCUCCCCCCUGGCCCCCACCUCCACUGCCCAAGCAGUAAGUAAGUGUAGUGGCCCAGUCCUGUCUGGCUCUUCGUGACCCAUGGACUGUAGCCCGCCAGGCUCCUCUGUCCAUUGGAAUUCUCCAGGCAAGAAUACUGGAGUGGGUAGCCAUGCCCUUCUCCAGGGGAUCUUCCCGACCCAGGGGAUGAACCUGGGUCUCCUGCAUUACACGCGGAUUCUUUACCAUCUGAGGCACCCCUCCGCUGCCCGGGGAGACCUCACCCCAUCCCUUAAUCUCAGAGGUAUGGGCUCUGCCUGGGAGAUGCUCCAUGCAGGGCUCCUGUGCUCCAGCAGGGGGCUCCCACCUCAGCCCUGGAGCCCCACCGUGGUGCUGGAAGUACUCUGCGAAUAAGCUCCUCCAGCCGCAAGGUGCUUGCGGGGCUGAUUCCACGGUGGGAGCUAGUGCCCUGUGACUCGCGCCAAGAUGGAACAUGUUUCCAGAGCAUGAAGGAGAGGCGAGCUGGGGGUCGGAUAGGCAGGUCCUGACUGCCUCAAUCUUGGCUUUAAUUUUAGAGGCAGGCAGGAAUCAGCAGAGAACGGGAGAGAGAAUGGACAGGUCAGAGUGUCAUUAUCCCACUCAGUUUUCGCAGCAGCUUUGCAAAGCAGGCACUAUUGUUAUCAUUACCUUCAUUGAACAGAUAGUCGGUUGAGGCUCAGAGAGGUUAAAUAGCUUGCCUGUGGUUGCCCAG
rnacentral:lncRNA from 1 species